GUCUGACCAGACAUAGAGGGAACGAACAAGAGUGCUGCAAAUUGAAGCCGGAGGAAACGAAGUUGAUCGAAGUGGAAAAAGACGAUAUAUAAAAAGGUGUGGGACAUUCCAAAUGUUCCAAAAGUGAGCACUCCACGAAUGGACAACAGUUUGCAGGACCUCUCAGGCACCCACAACCAGCGUCUGAUCGGGAUGGAGCACCAACCCCAUUCCAGGAA